rnacentral:rRNA from 1 species
CUGCAAGUCGUACGAGAAAUCCUGAGCAAUCGGGAGAGUAAAGUGGCGCACGGGUGAGUAACGCGUGGGUAACCUACCCUUGAAUUUGGGAUAACUUCCUCGAAAGCGGGGUUAAUACCGAAUAAUAUUCCAAUUUCUUUGGAACUUAGAAUCAAAGGUGGCCUCUGCAUGCAAGCUAUCGUUUAAGGAUGGGCCCGCGUACCAUUAGCUUGUUGGUGGGGUAAUGGCCUACCAAGGCAACGAUGGUUAGCUGGUCUGAGAGGAUGGUCAGCCACACUGGAACUGAGACACGGUCCAGACUCCUACGGGAGGCAGCAGUGGGGAAUCUUGCGCAAUGGGGGAAGCCCUGACGCAGCAACGCCGCGUGGGUGAUGAAGGCCUUCGGGUCGUAAAGCCCUGUCAGGUGGGAAGAAACUUAUGGAUGUUAAUACCAUCCAUGCUGGACG